UGGGGAAUAUUGCACAAUGGGCGAAAGCCUGAUGCAGCCAUGCCGCGUGUAUGAAGAAGGCCUUCGGGUUGUAAAGUACUUUCAGUUGUGAGGAAGGGUGUGUAGUUAAUAGCUGCGCAUCUUGACGUUAGCAACAGAAGAAGCACCGGCUAACUCCGUGCCAGCAGCCGCGGUAAUACGGAGGGUGCGAGCGUUAAUCGGAAUUACUGGGCGUAAA
rnacentral:rRNA from 2 species